AUGCCGAUGGCGCUACUUGGUUGACGCACCUUGCUUGCAAGGUCCCGCAAGGGGUCCGGGUUCAAAUCCCGGUCCGGCCUC
rnacentral:tRNA from 1 species